UACGUAGGGUGCGAGCGUUAAUCGGAAUUACUGGGCGUAAAGCGUGCGCAGGCGGUCUGUUAAGACCGAUGUGAAAUCCCCGGGCUUAACCUGGGAACUGCAUUGGUGACUGGCAGGCUUUGAGUGUGGCAGAGGGAGGUAGAAUUCCGCGUGUAGCAGUGAAAUGCGUAGAGAUGCGGAGGAACACCGAUGGCGAAGGCAGCCCCCUGGGCCAACACUGACGCUCAGGCACGAAAGCGUGGGGAGCAAACAGG
rnacentral:rRNA from 1 species